UACGGAGGGUGCAAGCGUUAUCCGGAUUCACUGGGUUUAAAGGGUGCGUAGGUGGGCUGGUAAGUCAGUGGUGAAAUCUCCGAGCUUAACUCGGAAACUGCCAUUGAUACUAUCAGUCUUGAAUACCGUGGAGGUCAGUAGAAUAUGUCAUGUAGCGGUGAAAUGCUUAGAUAUGACAUAGAAUACCAAUUGCGAAGGCAGCUGGCUACACGAAGAUUGACGCUGAGGCUCGAAAGCGUGGGGAUCAAACAGG
rnacentral:rRNA from 1 species